AUGAACGCUGGCGGCGUGCCUAAUACAUGCAAGUCGAGCGAACAGACGAGGAGCUUGCUCCUCUGACGUUAGCGGCGGACGGGUGAGUAACACGUGGAUAACCUACCUAUAAGACUGGGAUAACUUCGGGAAACCGGAGCUAAUACCGGAUAAUAUAUUGAACCGCAUGGUUCAAUAGUGAAAGACGGUUUUGCUGUCACUUAUAGAUGGAUCCGCGCCGCAUUAGCUAGUUGGUAAGGUAACGGCUUACCAAGGCAACGAUGCGUAGCCGACCUGAGAGGGUGAUCGGCCACACUGGAACUGAGACACGGUCCAGACUCCUACGGGAGGCAGCAGUAGGGAAUCUUCCGCAAUGGGCGAAAGCCUGACGGAGCAACGCCGCGUGAGUGAUGAAGGUCUUCGGAUCGUAAAACUCUGUUAUUAGGGAAGAACAAAUGUGUAAGUAACUAUGCACGUCUUGACGGGACCUAAUCAGAAAGCCACGGCUAACUACGU
rnacentral:rRNA from 1 species